CAAGCAAUAGUUCAUAGGUAGAACGAUUCGAUUUUAACGAAUAAGGGUGGGUUCAAUUCCCACUUGCAAAACAA
rnacentral:tRNA from 1 species